AACGAAUUCGCCCUUAGAGUUUGAUCAUGGCUCAGGAUGAACGCUGGCGGCGUGCCUAAUACAUGCAAGUCGAACGAAGAUCUAGCUUGCUAGAUCUUAGUGGCGAACGGGUGAGUAAUACAUAAAUAAUCUGCCCAUGUGACUGGGAUAACUAUUGGAAACGAUAGCUAAUACCGGAUAGGUUAAUUGGAGGCAUCUCUGAUUAAUUAAAGUAGGAUUUCUACACAGAUGGAUGAGUUUAUGGCGCAUUAGUUAGUUGGUGGGGUAACGGCCUACCAAGACGAUGAUGCGUAGCCGACCUGAGAGGGUGACCGGCCACACUGGGACUGAGACACGGCCCAGACUCCUACGGGAGGCAGCAGUAGGGAAUUUUCGGCAAUGGGCGCAAGCCUGACCGAGCAACGCCGCGUGAGUGAUUAAGGCCUUCGGGUUGUAAAGCUCUGUUGUAAGGGAAGAACAUUCAGGAUAGGAAAUGAUCUUGAACUGACGGUACCUUACCAGAAAGCCACGGCUAACUACGUGCCAGCAGCCGCGGUAAUACGUAGGUGGCAAGCGUUAUCCGGAAUUAUUGGGCGUAAAGGGUGCGUAGGCGGUUUAUUAAGUCUAUGGUGAAAGUGCGGGGCUCAACCCCGUAUGGCCAUAGAAACUGGUAGACUUGAGUGCAGGAGAGGGCAAUGGAAUUCCAUGUGUAGCGGUAAAAUGCGUAGAUAUAUGGAGGAACACCAGUGGCGAAGGCGGUUGCCUGGCCUGUAACUGACGCUGAGGCACGAAAGCGUGGGGAGCAAAUAGGAUUAGAUACCCUAGUAGUCCACGCCGUAAACGAUGAAUACUAAGUGUUGGAGAAAUUCAGUGCUGCGUUAACGCAAUAAGUAUUCCGCCUGGGGAGUAUGCACGCAAGUGUGAAACUCAAAGGAAUUGACGGGACCCCGCACAAGCGGUGGAUUAUGUUGUUUAAUU
rnacentral:rRNA from 1 species